GUCCUUGAAAUACCACCCUUGUAUGUUUGAUGUUCUAACGUUGGCCCCUAAUCGGGGUUGCGGACAGUGCCUGGUGGGUAGUUUGACUGGGGCGGUCUCCUCCCAAAGAGUAACGGAGGAGCACGAAGGUGGGCUAAUCACGGUUGGACAUCGUGAGGUUAGUGCAAUGGCAUAAGCCCGCUUAACUGCGAGAAUGACGGUUCGAGCAGGUGCGAAAGCAGGUCAUAGUGAUCCGGUGGUUCUGAAUGGAAGGGCCAUCGCUCAACGGAUAAAAGGUACUCCGGGGAUAACAGGCUGAUACCGCCCAAGAGUUCAUAUCGACGGCGGUGUUUGGCACCUCGAUGUCGGCUCAUCACAUCCUGGGGCUGAAGUCGGUCCCAAGGGUAUGGCUGUUCGCCAUUUAAAGUGGUACGCGAGCUGGGUUUAGAACGUCGUGAGACAGUUCGGUCCCUAUCUGCCGUGGGCGUUGGAAGAUUGAAGGGGGCUGCUCCUAGUACGAGAGGACCGGAGUGGACGAACCUCUGGUGUUCGGGUUGUGUCGCCAGACGCAUUGCCCGGUAGCUAAGUUCGGAAUCGAUAACCGCUGAAAGCAUCUAAGCGGGAAGCGAGCCCUGAGAUGAGUCUU
rnacentral:rRNA from 1 species